AAGAUUCAAGUUGCACCCCUUGCAUUAUUGUUUUCAUGGCUUUUUUCUCUUUGAAGCUAUCAAAAGAAGGUUGUGGUGGUAUUCACUUCUUCUUCUUCUUCUCCAUGCCCUUCCUUCCUAUUUAAAGGGCUGCAAGGGUUCAGAGUUUUGAGGCAAGGAAAGGGAAACAAUUAAGUAAAGUAUGCAAAGCAAAGCCCUCAUGAAGGCCAAUGGGAGAAGAGAGAGAGUACAGCUUCAUGAGUCCUUUUUCUCUUCAUGAAUCUCAAUGAAGAGUACUGAUCAGCAACAAGCAACACCAGAAACAUCAACAGUGGCCAAGUUCAACGAUGUUGUUUGUUAAUCAUUCUGAAUUCUUUUUUUAUUUAUUCUGUCAUUAAUUAAAUCACCAUCUAUUUUGUUCUUUAGUUUAAGUUCUAGUUGCCUUUUCCUUUUUCUUUUGUAUUUAUGAAAAAUAUGACAUGAGAUUUCUGAAAGGAAGGAGAUUCUGACA